CAGGCCUAACACAUGCAAGUCGAGGGGCAGCGGGGAUUGCUUGCAAUCCGCCGGCGACCGGCGCACGGGUGCGGAACGCGUAUGGAACCUGCCCCUGUCAGGGGAAUAGCCCAGAGAAAUUUGGAUUAAUGCCCCAUGGUAUCCCACCACUGCAUGGUGGAGGGAUUAAAGAUUUAUCGGACAGGGAUGGCCAUGCGUACCAUUAGCUUGUUGGUGAGGUAACGGCUUACCAAGGCAACGAUGGUUAGGGGCCCUGAGAGGGGGAUCCCCCACACUGGUACUGAGACACGGACCAGACUCCUACGGGAGGCAGCAGUGAGGAAUAUUGGACAAUGGUCGGGAGACUGAUCCAGCCAUGCCGCGCAGGAUGACUGCCCUAUGGGUUGUAAACUGCUUUUAUACGGGAAGAAACGCACCUACGUGUAGGUGUCUGACGGUACCGUAAGAAUAAGGACCGGCUAACUCCGUGCCAGCAGCCGCGGUAAUACGGAGGGUCCGAGCGUUAUCCGGAAUCAUUGGGUUUAAAGGGUCCGUAGGCGGGCCGUUAAGUCAGGGGUGAAAGUCUGCGGCUCAACCGUAGAACUGCCUUUGAUACUGGCGGUCUUGAGUCGUUGUGGAGUUGCCGGAACAUGUGGUGUAGCGGUGAAAU
rnacentral:rRNA from 1 species